CAGAGGGUGCGAGCGUUAAUCGGAAUUACUGGGCGUAAAGCGUGCGUAGGCGGUUUCGUAAGUCGGGUGUGAAAGCCCCGGGCUCAACCUGGGAAUUGCAUUCGAGACUGCGGAGCUGGAGUGCGGAAGAGGGAAGUGGAAUUUCCGGUGUAGCGGUGAAAUGCGUAGAUAUCGGAAGGAACAUCAGUGGCGAAAGCGACUUCCUGGUCCAGCACUGACGCUCAGGCACGAAAGCGUGGGGAGCAA
rnacentral:rRNA from 1 species